UUUACAAAAUUAUUGACUCGGAUCACCACCCUGGAAGCCUUCAGUGGAGGGUUCUAGAAGGCUACCCAAUUUGCAGAGGAAGGUGUGAGCAAGGCUGUGCCAAGUUUACACCAACCGUUGGAAGUUUAUUAUUUCUCCAAAUAAAAUACAAACAUCUGGCCUUGCAAAGUAGUUGUCACAAAACCACUGACUGAUCAUAUUGAAGUGGCCAAUGCACUAAUUGUGAAUUCCAGGCAACACUGCUGUGGAACAAAAGUCUGACAAAGCACACAUUAGAUGCCAAGUAAAUACCCGUGGAUUAAAAUGUGAAUAUGGUUUUAACCUUGCUCUGAGGCAUAAGCACCUAGUUUAUUAGACAUUAGGGGCUCUUUCUAAGGAGAUGGACUUUAUUCUGGGAGACGCUUUGUGAUUCACAUGCUCAGGAGCUGUGAGAGGCUUUCCCACUGAAUAGGAAGCACAGGAUGUACAAUGAAGACAGGCUGAUAAAAGACAUUUUAUUAUUUCCAUUUUCUUCUGUGAAUGUCUUCACUUUAGAGACCUUUGAAAAUUGUUCACAGCUAUAAGAGCUGCGGAAAUGAGUCAUAGAAAUAAAGGGGCAUGGUUAUUGAAAGGGGGGAACCGGACUUGAGGGAGAGGUUCUAAGGGUCGGAAGGAGACGAUCCGGAGGAACAAAGGUGUUUGUCCAACCACUGUGAGACCUUUUCUGAGUCUUCAGACUCCUGUGGAUUGGCCUUCUCUGCUCGUUCACAGGAUAUACAUUUUUAGCCUGUUUACUCGGUAACUGGAACCUUCGCUGUUUUCCUCUUUGAACGAGUCAUGAAGUGCAAGAUGAGGAGGGAGGCGCUGGUUUCCAGCCCGUUACCAUGAAAUCCUCAUCUCGGGCAGUGCAGGCUUUCAAAACAGUCUUUAGAAAUCGAAGGUGGUCAGCUUAACCGUGUUCAGUUCGACUCCACCGGGGACUCUUAAGCCUUCUGAUGACUUGGCCUGCAGAACCUUCUGCGACAUCACAUCAGAGACAUUUGAAUGAGAAGUGCCUGGAGUACCGGCAACGGAGGUCUCUUCGCAACGGUUUCAGAGUGUUUUCAAGAAGAUAAGUUGUUGAUUCCCCAGUAAAGCAGCACCCACCCACACAAGGAAGUAGCUGUAAACUCACGUACAAAUGAAAAAUCGGAGUAGGAGGGGACUCGCUCAGAAGCAAGAUUUCGACAAGAGGGAGGGUCCAUGUGCCUGUCUCUGUAUGAGCUGAGCAACCUUCUUCCUGUGUGUCUGUGCCUGCCUGUGUGAGCCCUGGAUGUGCUGGUAUGUGAUGGGUACCUGCUCGGAUCUGCUCCCUAGUGAUCUGUGUGCCAUUCAUCACUAAGAGUAAGUCAAGUGAGUCUUAGCAAUCUAUGACCCCUCGGAUUCGCUUCAACUCCUUGAAUCUUAUGACCUUCCUCUUUUCCUCAUUAAGUCUUGAACACAGAGAACUUUAUAUUGGAAGUCCUAUUAUUUUUACUCUUUGGGUAAAAGAACUAAGGCUUAGUUAAAAAGGGUAGAGAACUUGCUAGGUGUUCUGCAGUGAACACACAUUGAAACUGAAAUUCAAUCAUAAGAAUCAGAUGUUAUUAUCUAAUUUUAGGCCUAACAUGUUUCUUUC